rnacentral:lncRNA from 1 species
AAGAAGGGGAAGGUGAAGAAAGGGUGGCUGGCGGUGCGCGUCGGGGCGGAGGGCGACGAGGGCGGCGGCUACCAGCGGUUCGUCAUCCCCAUCGCGUACCUCUACCACCCGCUGUUCCGCCGCCUGCUGGAGGCCGCGCGCGACGCCUACGGCUACGACUACUCCGCGGGGCCGCUCCGCCUGCCCUGCUCCGUCGACGAGUUCCUCCGCCUGCGCGCGCUCGUCGAACGGGAGACGCAGGCGGCGGCGCAGGCCUCGUCGUCGUCGCACCAUCGUGUGCAUGCCGGCGGAGGCGGAUCACACGGACACUACUCCCUCUCCCCGUGCACCCGCGCCAAGGUCACCUCAUGAUCGGUCACUCGAUCGAUCACCGGUCACGGCCGGCCGGCCUGCC